GUAAUUCUUCCCAGCCAGCAGGUGGUGGUGUUUUCAUGUUAAGUUUGUUAUUGAACAGUAGAAUGAGUUCAGAAACACAUGUAUAAUGGCUGACAGAGGCAGUUUAUCAGUCUUCAUUUAAUCAUUCUUCAUCCUGUUUUGUUCUUUAGAGAAAGCACUGCUUUUUCACUCUUUUGGCAAUUGAAAGCAACGUCAAUUAAAGCGACAUACGCCUGACAAUCGUGUGAGAGUUUAUCUAUCUGCACAACUGUUACUUGGAAACACAGUGGGGGCAGAACAUCCAGACUGUGUUAGAAUAUUCUUAAAAAACUCCUGUUCUAACUUCCCAUGGUAGCUAACUUGCUGCAGUGUAUGCUGCUUAUGUACAAACUACGGUUUGUACAUAAGCUGACAACAUGAGUUAUUAUUAACAGUGCUACUGCUCUGCUUAUCAAACAAAACCUCAUAUUUGCUGCUGCUGCUUGAAAAGUCAGUGUUACAUCCUGGCAGAAAAAACAGACUGGCUCUCAGAAAAGAAGACAAAACACAGCAAAAAAAAAAAAAAAAA